rnacentral:lncRNA from 1 species
UUUGGAAGACAACCCCAUGAAAGAGAGUCGUCUGGUAGGUGUCACAUCCCUGGAACCCUAAUCAUGUAUAGCAUUGUGCUCAUAUCUUCUUUGCAUUGCAUCCAAGAAAAUUGCAACAAGAUCAAAGUAAGUGGUGAAGCAAAACUCAAAAACCGUAGCCACUUCUCAAAUUCAAAGAAAUUCUAAACUUGUUCAAAUCAAUGAACCCAAAAUGGCCUCAAGAAAAGUUCAACUUUUCUGAUAGUUCAUGAAAGCAAAUAAGCAGUGAAGAAAACUAUUUUCAUAACACAUUUGGUAUUUUAUUUAAA